GGACGAACGCUGGCGGCGUGCUUAACCCAUGCAAGUCGAACGGAAAGGCCCUGCUUUUGUGGGGUGCUCGAGUGGCGAACGGGUGAGUAACACGUGAGUAACCUGCCCUUGACUUUGGGAUAACUUCAGGAAACUGGGGCUAAUACCGGAUAGGAGCUCCUGCUGCAUGGUGGGGGUUGGAAAGUUUCGGCGGUUGGGGAUGGACUCGCGGCUUAUCAGCUUGUUGGUGGGGUAGUGGCUUACCAAGGCUUUGACGGGUAGCCGGCCUGAGAGGGUGACCGGCCACAUUGGGACUGAGAUACGGCCCAGACUCCUACGGGAGGCAGCAGUGGGGAAUAUUGCACAAUGGGCGGAAGCCUGAUGCAGCAACGCCGCGUGCGGGAUGACGGCCUUCGGGUUGUAAACCGCUUUCGCCUGUGGCGAAGCGUGAGUGACGGUAAUGGGUAAAGAAGCACCGGCUAACUACGUG
rnacentral:rRNA from 1 species